rnacentral:sRNA from 1 species
UAUCCCCCAAACCACGGGGGGAUGAGAACCACCGACCGGGGUUCGACAACUGGCGCAGCCAGUUGGACAGACGACGAGCUUGCGAGGAGACUGCCCGAAGGGCGAGCGCAGCGAGUCAAUCCCCCCCUCACCGCCA